AAAUGGAAACAGAGAGAUUCUCCUGGAAACCCCUGCCCCAUAAACGGCCCUCUAGAACACAGUGGGACGGAAUCCACCCACAACGCGCUUGGUUUGCAGAUGUCAAAGAAUCUGCAGAGGGUGCUACUGAAGAUCCAGCCUCAGCCAAUCACCACCUCAUUGGGUGAAAGUUCCAGGGCUCAAUCCAGGACCACACUCUUAUUGGCCAGGCAAUAAGGGGCUCCCACAGAGCUUUGAGUAACUUCUUGGUUG
rnacentral:sRNA from 1 species